rnacentral:lncRNA from 1 species
UUCAAUUUGGCCUGGAGGCUGCACGGUGUCGCUGUAUGGAUUGCGGGCUCGCCCGCCCGGGAGAAUGAAACAGGCCCCUUACUCCCGGGGAGUCUGAUCGUGGGAGCUCCGCUGGGCCGCCCCGCGAAGGCUCAGGACAGACCAGGCAGUGCGCGGGGACUCCGCAAGUACCUGGGAUCAAACUCAGGACCUUGCACUUGUGAGGCAGGCAUGACACCACUGAGCUACAUCCCCGGCCCUCUGAUUCGUCGAUUAUGAUCAUUACUUUCCCUGUAAUUAAAAAAAAGAAAAGAAAGAAAGAAAAGAUUUUCUCUGGAAAAAGAAGAAAACCAUAAUGAAGGAGUACCACAGAGUGCAUCUCCUGUACUACCUGAACAUUUGAAAAAGGAGAAAAGAAUUGUGCAGACCCUAAAAAUGGCUGAGGGGAGGAGCCAGGUCAU